rnacentral:lncRNA from 1 species
UAGCAAGCUUCAGGGCAAUCUGCUAAAUUAGAAAACCAGUUAGCUUAAAAUUAAUAGAAAGUAUUAGGUAAACACUCUAAUCUGCAAACAGUACAGAGAAAAUAGGUUAAAUGACUUGCUGCUUAUAUUUUGGGGCUAUGUAGAUUGGUCUCUCUGAUUCCAUCUCAUUUUUCAGUUUUCACUGUUUUCCACUGAUUAAUUCCCUUCAUUUUCAAGUUCAUUAUCAAAACGGAAUCAAACUUGGCUGUACAUUACUGGAGCAGAAAGUUUGAGAAUGUUAGGAAAUGAAAGCGAAUUCCCUCAGACCGAAGUGGGAAUCAGUGCUUCAUCUCUUAUGAAUCUUUGACAUUUAGACUCCUGGAUUUCCUGGCAUCCAAAAUAUUUCUAUGGUCUUCAGAGAUUCCUGGGCUCUGGCCCACUGCAUGUUGGUAAAUCAACCAGAGAAUUGCUCGAAGAAGAUUCUCAUCAAUGAAGGGUAGACUAUCAGAAAGAACUGAAAAGAAAAAAAUCUGGGAUACUUUGGACCUCUUUUUUUUUUUUUUCCUGAUUAUCUGUAUAAAAGAUAAUAUAAUAAUGAUAAUCAAUAUUAAAAAGGACUGAUA